UGGAAGUUGUAGUUAUCCCACAUCGGAUAAGCAUACCGCUUUCUGUGUCUUUAUUAAUCACUACGCAGCUGCUACGUUCGUCCCUUCGGGGACAUCCGAUAAAAUUGGAACGAUACAGAGAAGAUUAGCAUGGCCCCUGCGCAAGGAUGACACGCAUAAAUCGAGAAAUGUUGAUUCGAUGUCGUUGCUGGAGUCCUUGGGUAAAUUGCGGAGAUUUAGGUCAAUUCGAUAUACAAACCAUUCAGGGCUUUGGGCAUUCUAGAUAUGCUGUUUUAACCCCAAGUCUCAAAGGUUUUGAGGCUGCUAUGGCAGUUGGGGAAAAGGAAGUGGCAGUGUUUGCUGCUGUGUCUGAGUCAUUUUCCAGAUCAAAUUUAAAUUGCAGCAUUGAAGAUAGUCCUGCUCUGUACUGUGAUGUUGCCCUUGCUGCUAAAACCACAAAGUUCCUGUUCGUGGAUAUAUAUCAUGUGUUGUUGGUUGUCCUAUGGAAGGAGUUGUACCUCCAUCAAAAGUAGCAUCUGUUGCUGAAGAACUUAUAAAAAUAUGGGUUGUGCUGAAAUAUCCCUUGGUUAGACGAUUAGGUGCUAGCACUCCCGAUGGGCUUUUGCACAGCGGAUGCCCAUAUGCCAAAGGUGCUACUGAAAAUGUUGUCACUGAAGAUGUCGUUUAUAUGCUCAUCGGUCUUGGAGUGAAAGUACAUGUGGAUCUCGGAAAACUCAUUAUGGCUAGAGAUUGUAUUUCUAAACAUGUGGGUCGACCAUCGAGUUCUAAAGCUUUGAUUUCCUUGCGCAUAACCUUGACUAAUGCUUCUAAGCUUUAAAGCUUCCCUGCUGCAGUGCACGGCCAAAAAGGUUUGGCACUGAUAGGACCCUUGCAGAGCAUUGAUUGUCCCCGUUUACAUCGAUCCGAGCAUCAGCAGCUCGCUGUCAGCUAAGUUUGAUCAUAUCUCUCAUCAGUUUCAGCUCCAUGUGUCCUGAGGUGUACUUGGGAGUUGCUCCUCUUAAUCCGACCGCACUCUCUGGGUCGUAAAAAAAAAAAAAACUAGGGUGUAUGAUAAUGUGUUUGGAUUUUUAUAAAUUUGUUUACAUGUGGGCAAGGGCCCUGGUUGUGCAGGAGUCAUUUAAGUAGUGUGGUGUCGUUUCUGAGUCAGUUCUUGUUAUAUAUGGCCUUCACUGUUAUGUGACAAACAAGCAUUUAUGAAGCAUUUUAUGCAGUGGUCCUUUUCCUGUA